UACGGGGGAUGCAAGCGUUAUCCGGAUUUAUUGGGUUUAAAGGGUGCGUAGGCUGUGAGGUAAGUCAGCGGUGAAAUGCCCCCGCUCAACGGGGUGAAGUGCCAUUGAUACUGCCUUGCUGGAAUGCGGAUGCCGUGGGAGGAAUGUGUGGUGUAGCGGUGAAAUGCAUAGAUAUCACACAGAACACCGAUUGCGAAGGCAUCUCACGAAUCCGCGAUUGACGCUGAUGCACGAAAGCGUGGGUAUCAAACAGGAUUAGAAACCCUAGUAGUCCCACUGUAGAAACCCUUGUAGUCCU
rnacentral:rRNA from 1 species